CGAGCCGUACCUAGGGACGGGCGACCAAGAGAAGGUCAGCACCUCCGAGGAAGGGUCAUGCAAAACGAAAGGAAGCCGGAAGCCCCAUUGAGCCUGCUCCAUCACCGAAAAGGAGGGGUAUACGGCGAACCGUGAACAAGAUCCCAGCCAGCCGCGAGCCACGGCCAAUAUGGCGCACCAACCAGGACUGGGGCACAUGCUUGUGCGGCACAUACUCAUUCGGCUUACAGAGAGCCGGAUGAGAUGUCCAUCACUAACUCCGAAGUUGAGAGUGCAAUGAAUCAUCGUCACUUGAAAGAAGCCUUGUGCGCCCCUGCCUUAACGGAGUCGGAAUUUACCGCCCUAAGCAUUGUAGGUGCAUAUAUCCGAGCUGCUCGGGACGGACUCACAGGAGUUAAUCGCCUGUUCUCAAAGGAUAUGCAGGUUCUCAAGGAGAAGAAUAGUGCAUUGUGCCAAGAGCUCGAGACAAGCCGGACAUAGCUAAAUGCCGCUGUCUCCGAGCUUGAAGAAAUGAAGAGUGCCCCAAUGUAUUUUGGCAAAGAUAAAAAAAUAGAAGAAGAAGUGAAGAAGCAGGCCGAAGAGAUAAAGAGCUUAAAGACUCAACUCUUGGAGGCACAACAGGAAAACCAGAAGCUAAAGGGCGGCA